GCUUUAGAGGGGCGAACUCCUGGGCUGGGAGUAGGAAACCCGGUUGGGGGAAUGGGGUCCCGGAUUCGGGGCACGUGCACAUGGGCGAAGGAGCUGUUGAAAAUACGGUCACAAUCUUUUUCUGCUCUCCUCCCAACUCAUACUGCCCCCUCCCUACCUUUGAACAGUCGCCUUCCAACACAAGCAACAAUAAAGAUCGCGAGUCAAAUGAAAGCAGUGGACCCUCUGCUAUGAAAAAUGCACGUGAGGACUAAGUUUUGCAUCUAAUUUCAAAGGAACCUGCUGACUCGGCGUCUAUAGAAGCCACUUUCAUCUUGGAUGAAAGCUAUGGGGUGAAGUUUUUAUUGGAUAGUGAAAGGGACGAAGUUUGGUCUCGAGACUGCCGGUGGAAAGAUCCAUGGUGUUUCCAAACCGGAGUGAAAGGAAGAACAAAGCUGGGCUGCAGUAUGACAGAUGACGGGCAUCUGUCCUCCUGGUUCCUGUGGGUAAGGGAGCACCCAGAGGGAGAUGCUCUGUGGCUGCCCUUACCCCCUUCUCCUCACUAUCACUCAACUCCCCUGGCUCUUUCCUACAUCUGGGUCCUCACCAUCACGCCAUCAGCCAGGCAUGUGCUGCAGUCAGCCCUGUGGGUGCAGCUGUCCCCCAGGGGGUGGCCCAGGGGGCUGCUUCUUCGCCUGGGCUGGCCUCCCCAUCUGCUGGCUGUCUCUCCUCACCCUGCCUCCAGCCUGCGCCUCUGGCCUCCUCCUCCUCCUCCUAGGACCCCAUCUCAUACCUCCUCUACUUUCCUGCUUUGGGGCUUGAAGUAGCCUUACAACCAAGAUCUGAAAGAGAAAGAAAGCCCAUCCUCACCCCCUUGUCAAAAGUUCUGGGGCACCUGGGGGGCUCAGUCGGUUAAGCGUCUGACUUCGGCUCAGGUCACGAUCUUGCAGUUCGUGGGACCGAGCCCCGCGUUGGGCCCUCUGCUCUCAGUGCUGAGCCCACCUCAGAUCCUCUGUCUCCCUCUCUCUCUCUGCGCCUCCCCCUUUUGCGUAUGUGCUCUCAAAGUAAAUAAGUAAACAUUAAAAAAAAAAGGUUCUUGAAUCAUCACCCCCAAAGAAACUGUGAUUUUGCUUAUUCUAGACAAGAACCGCAAAGCACCAUUCUGUCACAGACUGUAGGUUCUUUCAUGCUCUGAACCCUGACCUGGUGUUCUCUGUGGCUCCUGAAUGGCACCCCUAGCCCCUACCUACUGCUUCCUCCACAGCCUGCAAGGUGGUUGGGAAAAUUCGUUCAAAUCAGGGCUACAGGUGGAAGCAGCCCAGGGAGAGGGCUCAGGCUGGUCGUAGAAGGGUCCAUGGCCCAUGGCGUCUUUGCUUCCAUGAUGGGCCACCCCACUCAGCCUCACUGUGGCUCAGGCAUCCCUAAUGUUGCUUCUCAGGAACUUAUGCAUUCUCUCCUCUCUCUGAUCUGCCCUUCCAUAGCCAACCAGAGUCCAACUGGAGCUGGCUGACUCCCAGAUUGAUAUGAAGGCAUAUGAGGAGGGCCUCGAGCUUCCUGCCCUGGGCAGUCCCAGGGAGGGUGAGACCCCAGCCCAGGUCUGCUAAUCCCAGGAGGCCAUAUGCCUGACACUGGGCACCCCCACCCCAAAGGAGGGUGGGUGCGGCCCAUGUUCCUUCCUGCUGGUUCAAGCUCCAAAAAAGCACAGUAAAUAUUAGAGGAGGUAGGUUAUCAGGCCAGCAGCUGAACAGCAAGGCGGUUAUGUAACCGCUGCCUGAACUUUGGCUUUGCUCCAUCAUCUGCAGACAGAAAGCAGAUUCUUGUGGUGUAGGGGGUAUGGAGCCCCUCUGCUGGUUCCCCCCUUUCCUUCCAGUCUCUGCCAGACUUCUUUGGGCCUCUUUAAACAGACCACUGUUUGGCAAGAUGACGAAGUGAGGAAAGAAAGAUUAAACCCAGAGAAAGGAAAGGAGAGGAGAUGACGUCAGAGUCUCCAAGAAUAAUUUAACGUUUAAAAAAAAAAAGAGACAAAAAGAGGGACGCCUGGGGGGCUCAGUCUGUUAAGAGUCUGACUUCAGCUCAGGUCAUGAUCUCUCAGUUCAUGGAUUUGAGCUUCGACAGCUGUGCUGACAGCUCGGAGCCUGGAGCCUGCUUCGGAUUCUGUGUCUCCCUCUCUCUGUGCCCCUCCCCCACUCAUG